rnacentral:rRNA from 1 species
CGAGUGAAGCGGCAAUAACUCAAAUUUGAAAUCUGGCACCUUCGGUGUCCCAUUUGUAAUUUCAAGAAGGUAUCUUUGCUUUUGGCUCUUGUCUAUGUUCCUUGGAACAGGACGUCACAAAGGGUGAAAAUCCCGUGCGAUGAGAUGCCCAAUUCCAUGUAAAGUUCCUUCCACGAGUCGAGUUGUUUGGGAAUGCAGCUCUAAGUGGGUGGUAAAUUCCAUCUAAAGCUAAAUAUUGGCGAGAGACCGAUAGCGAACAAGUACUGUGAAGGAAAGAUGAAAAGAACUUUGAAAAGAGAGUGAAAAAGUACGUGAAAUUGUUGAAAGGGAAGGGCUUGAGAUUAGACUUGGAAUUUUCCGAUUUAUUGGAGCUUUCCGGGCCAGCAUCAGUUUGGAUGGCAGGAUAAUUGCGUAUGAAAGUAGCACAUUGUGUAUUAUAGCCUAUGUCGAUACUGCCUGUCUAGACUGAGGACCCGUCUUUGACUAGG